GGGUAGGCUUGUUACGAUAACUGCACAGAGGAGCGCCAUUUAGGAAGGCGAGGAAGAUGGUUUCUGCUAGAGUGUAACACACGUUUCGUUGCUCUUAUUGGUUGUAGGUAUAUUCAAUAAGCCAGAGGCAUUUUCAGUCAACGGACGUUGACAACACCUCCUUGGAAAUUGAAAAUGAACUGAUAUGUCCCAGACUAAUACAUUUGCAAAAUGGCCUGGGAUUAACCUAACCAGAAACAGAUUCUGCAUUGAAUAUUGCUUCACUCUUGUAGGGCUAAGAAUAGGUGUUAUUAUUAGGUUACCCUUGGAUGAAUGUAUUGAUUCAAUCUUUUUUCUUCAAUGUUAAUAUAGUCUUGCUGCUUCCUGUGCCACCUCCCUUGAGGCUCAUAUAAGGACCUUCACAACCAUGGAGCAAGGGCAUUACCAGGAUGCAGAGGGAAUUUGCUUCAGUGAUGGUCAACCAUUAAUAAUGGGCUGUGUGUGGACUAUGCAACAGCCUGAUGCUAUUCUGCCUGGGAAUCUUCCUCACCCUCCUCAGCAACAUGAACCCUGCGAAAUAGUGCCUUCCCACUGUCUGGGCUUCAGGUAAUACAUCAUUCCUUCUUUUGCACUCCAUUUAGGAUUCAGGUGAUCGAUUAUAUUUAAGUUAGUCCCACUUGCAAUAAUUGCUUUCACAAUGGUGUAGUGCCAUCUGAUGAUACUGGACACGAUGACACAAAAAGCUAACAGAGCAGUUGAUGGAGCAAUUCUUGCAUUGUCCGCUGUCCAUCUGGACCACAUAGAGAGAAAAUCCAAACCAAAAUGCGUAUGAGGGCAAUCAUUUCAACAAGCAAAUGCUUGUUUAUUGCCAUUAUGAUCACUAUCCAGACGUAGGGUAGAGUUCCUUGAAAGGAUGACUGUUUAUUCAACUCAAUCUAGCCCAGUUGCAGGUCUUCUAGAAAAUAAUUCCCACAGCUCAAUCUCGCUCCCAUGGGUUGCAGUGGGAGACAUGCACCGUGGCAUGAUGCCUGGUGAAUUACAUAAUGCUAUAGCCGAAAUUGGACCCUCCGAUUCUCAGGAUGCUCAGCAAUGUCAGACAGAACAUACAAACUCACCAAAUAAUUUGACAAAGGUUGGUCAUUUCCAUAUUGUGUGUCACAAUAGUGAGUACAGUUGUUUUUUGCUCACUAU
rnacentral:lncRNA from 1 species